rnacentral:tRNA from 1 species
GCGGGGGUGGCUGAGCUUGGUCUAAGGCGCAGGCUUGAGGAGCCUGUCCCGCAGGGGUUCGAGGGUUCAAAUCCCUUCCCCCGCACCA